rnacentral:rRNA from 1 species
UACGUAGGGGGCGAGCGUUGUCCGGAGUUACUGGGCGUAAAGCGCUUGUAGGCGGUCCACCAAGUUUGGGGUGACAGUUGCCGACUUAAUCGGCAAAGUGCCUCAAAGACUGGCGGACUUGAGGGCCACAGAGGGACAUGGAACUCCAGGUGUAGUGGUGAAAUGCGUAGAUAUCUGGAGGAACACCGGUGGCGAAGGCGGCAUCCUGGACCAUUACUGACGCUGAGGAGCGAAAGCCAGGGGAGCAAACGGG